UUGGAUAUGAAACACAAAGUUGCAUGGGAACACAAAAGCAACAAAACCUCGGACUAGACUUCUAUAAUGAUGACAAUGAAAGAUUGGAUGAGGGGAUGCAAUGCAGCUUCACAGAGCUCCUCCUGCAAGGAGCUUCGAAUAUUGAGAACUCAAUGUAUAUGACAACAAGCAGAGUAGAUGAAAUGGCAUCAGAUGUAUUUGGUACACAAAGCAAUAGAAUGCCACUUG